rnacentral:rRNA from 1 species
UACGAAGGGUGCAAACGUUGCUCGGAAUUAUUGGGCGUAAAGCGCACGUAGGCGGCUUUGCAAGUCGGAUGUGAAAGCCCUCGGCUCAACCAAGGAAGUGCAUCCGAAACUGCAGAGCUUGAGUACUUAAGAGGAUCGCGGAAUUCCCGGUGUAGAGGUGAAAUUCGUAGAUAUCGGGAGGAACACCAGUGGCGAAGGCGGCGAUCUGGGAAGAUACUGACGCUGAGGUGCGAAAGCUAGGGGAGCAAACGGG